rnacentral:rRNA from 1 species
AGAGUUUGAUCCUGGCUCAGAUUGAACGCUGGCGGCAUGCCUUACACAUGCAAGUCGAACGGUACGGGCUUCGGGUGCCGACGAGUGGCGAACGGGUGAGUAAUGCAUCGGAACGUACCUUUCAGUGGGGAUAACGUAGCGAAAGUUACGCUAAUACCGCAUAUUCUGUGAGCAGGAAAGCAGGGGAUCGCAAGACCUUGCGCUGAUUGAGCGGCCGAUGUCAGAUUAGCUAGUUGGUGAGGUAAAGGCUCACCAAGGCGACGAUCUGUAGCGGGUCUGAGAGGAUGAUCCGCCACACUGGAACUGAGACACGGUCCAGACUCCUACGGGAGGCAGCAGUGGGGAAUUUUGGACAAUGGGGGCAACCCUGAUCCAGCCAUGCCGCGUGAGUGAAGAAGGCCUUCGGGUUGUAAAGCUCUUUCGGCCGGGAAGAAAUCGCAUGGGUUAAUACCCUGUGCGGAUGACGGUACCGGCAUAAGAAGCACCGGCUAACUACGUG